ACCGGCGCACGGGUGCGGAACGCGUAUGGAACCUGCCCCUGUCAGGGGAAUAGCCCAGGGAAACUUGGAUUAAUGCCCCAUGGUACCGUUAUAUCGCAUGAUAUUUCGGUUAAAGAUUUAUCGGACAGGGAUGGCCAUGCGUACCAUUAGUUAGUUGGUGGGGUAACGGCCCACCAAGGCAGCGAUGGUUAGGGGCCCUGAGAGGGGGAUCCCCCACACUGGUACUGAGACACGGACCAGACUCCUACGGGAGGCAGCAGUGAGGAAUAUUGGACAAUGGGCGGGAGCCUGAUCCAGCCAUGCCGCGUGCAGGAUGACGGCCCUAUGGGUUGUAAACUGCUUUUAUACGGGAAGAAACGCACCUACGUGUAGGUGUCUGACGGUACCGUAAGAAUAAGGACCGGCUAACUCCGUGCCAGCAGCCGCGGUAAUACGGAGGGUCCGAGCGUUAACCGGAAUCAUUGGGUUUAAAGGGUCCGUAGGCGGGCCUGUAAGUCAGGGGUGAAAGUUUGUGGCUCAACCAUAAAAUUGCCUUUGAUACUGCAGGUCUUGAGUCAUGGUGGGGUCGCCGGAACAUGUGGUGUAGCGGUGAAAUGCAUAGAUGUCACAUAGAACACCGAUCGCGAAGGCAGGUGACCAACCAUGUACUGACGCUGAUGGACGAAAGCGUGGGUAGCGAACGGGAUUAGAUACCCCGGUA
rnacentral:rRNA from 1 species